CGAUACGGACAACUCUUUCCCUCUCUACACUCUACGCCAUCAUGUAUAUUAGUUAUAUAGAUGUCGCUCGUGUUAUUUUCAGGCCUAUGUAUAGCAGGAGAUUUUUGUGUUAAUAAUUUAGAAUCCAUUUGUAUAUUAUCCGACAUGAUUCGCACAAACAUUUUUGUUUAUCUUCAAUGAAAUUAAUAUAAAAUCAUAUUAUAUAGUAUAUAAAAGUGUAAUCGCGUAGCAUUAAUCAUAUCAGAUAGUAUAAACGAAUUCUUGUCGUGCAUUGAGGAUUCGAUCGUGGUUCGUAUCGUACCAUUGACCAAUCGUGCAAUUUUUUUCUUUUUUUUAUAUUUAAAAAAAUUUUUUUUUUUCAUAUUGUUGCACUAUUUUGUUGCAUGAUCAUGAUUCUUAAUAAAAUAUAAAUAGUGAUCUAUUUGGAUUAUGUUAAAAGGAAUUGAAAAAAGAAAUAUAGAUUGCAAAGUUCCAGUGUCUUGAAAGAUUCGCUAGAGAUUCCUUCGAGAAUUUUUUAUAGAAAUUUUUCUCAAGAUACAAUGGAUUCUAAAAAUUAAAAAAUUUUUAAAUUUUAUUUUUAAAUUAAAAUGAAAACCGUUAAAAAAGAGAAGAAAAGGAAAAUGAACAAUUUUAGCAAUUUUUAUAGCGUGAACAAUUACGAAUGAAGAUUACACAAAAAUGAAAGAAAACGAUACAGAUGUAGAAAAAAAAGGAUAGAAACAUGGAUGAUGGUAUUCAUUCUAAAGCGUUUUCAUUUUCACAAAAUUUAUGAUUGUUCUAUGUCUUGUGAAUUUGCCGUACCGAGACGGUGGUGGCUGUACAAGAAUUGGCUCGAUUCCGCAAGAAGGCUGAGCCCUCCCAUUUUCUCUUAAAUUGCGCUAUCACCUAAACAAAAGUAACGUUUAUUAAUGAACAUUUUCUUUAUUUCACGUAAUUAGAAAUAAUCGUUUACUUACCUCACCGUUACAGAAACAAAAUAAAACGGCCACACAGAGACCCUAUAGAAAAAACAUCAAUCAAAAAUUUAAAAAUAUAUAAAUAAUAUUUAAUGUAAUAAUUAUUUAUUUCAAAUAUUUAUAAAAGGUUAAUUAACUUUAACAUUCAAUUUGAUAUAGUAUCCAAGAAAAUUGAGAGUUGAUUGUGAAAUAUAAGAAAAUAGUUAAAUAUAGUUUCUAUUGAAAAAUAUGUGAAGUCAUUUUACCUGAAAAGAAGCUGUUAUAGCGGAAAGAACCUCAUAGAAAUGCUCCCAAGGAUGAUUUUUCGGUGGCCUGAAGGGUAUGACAAGAUAAUGUAAACCCAAAAGAGAUCUCGAAGGUUGUGUACCAAUGCUAGGACCAGCUCUCAACUUCAUUAAUAGAACUCGAACGAUAUUGAAGAGAAAAAGUACAUUCAAUAAGGUGGAAACGCAUACUGGAUAAACCAGUACGGGCCAACCAAGAAUCAUCAACCAUUUUACUAAUUUUUGUUCGCUUGUGAACGCACUGACAAGCAGAGUGUGUAGAUAAAAACCUUCGCACAACAUCCAUGCAUAAUUAGUAAGAAGAAAGUAAUGAAGAAUAAUAUGCAACAGCCGACAUGUCAUCUGAAAAAUUUACAAAGGCAUUAUUAUUCGAACGAUAUAUGGUGUGACUAAAUUCUCGUUCGAGUUACUGGGUCGAGUGUUAAGCAAAGAGUUAAGAUCUUCAUACAUACCCCAUUGUUCAACAGUAAAUCCGUAUUCGCUACGAUGCAUCUAUACCAUACCAGCCAUAGAGCAUUAUUUACAGCAAAAGAGGCGAACAGGUUCAUAUGAAGAGUGAUCCUUGCACACCUCAGGGAGCUAUUU